ACUUUCAACAACGGAUCUCUUGGCUCUGGCAUCGAUGAAGAACGCAGCGAAAUGCGAUAAGUAAUGUGAAUUGCAAAAUUCAGUGAAUCAUCGAAUCUUUGAACGCACAUUGCGCCCGCCAGC
rnacentral:rRNA from 1 species